ensembl:snoRNA
GUGCACCGUCUUUGAACCUUGACAUGUUGACUGGUCAUGUUCUAGGCCAAGCAACGGUGCUGACAGCAAAACUUGUUCAUAACUGGAGCUUCUCAGGAAAUGGCACUGAGUUGUUCUUUUAAAAGCAAGCUACAUUC